GAGUUGGUUACUUAUUCCUUAUUCCUUAUUCGUUACUUAUUCGUUACUUAUUUCUUAUUCCUUAUUCGUUACCUAUUCGUUACUUAUUCCUUAUUCCUUAUUCGUUACCUAUUCGUUACUUAUUCCUUAUUCCUUAUUCGUUACUUAUUCCGUACUUCUUAUUCGUUCCUUGUUCGCUUUUUAAUAUGUUGCCCUCUUCUAAUACUUUUUUUUCCUUUUAUUUUUUUACUUUGAGGUAAGAUAUUGGUUCGAGGAGGUAAAAUUACCCUGUCAGUGCGAAUGUGCCCGCUUUCGUGCUCGAUUGAUAGAUACCCUGUUACUUAUUCGCUUUUAAUAUGUUGCCUCCUUUUAAUGACUUUUCGUUUGUUUCUUUUUUAAUCUCUGGUGUUAAUUAUUGGUUCGUUAAGGUAAUAUUACCCUGUAAGCGCGUAUCUACCCGUUUCAGCGCUCGACUGAUACCCUGUUACUUAUUCGUUUGUUAUACGUUUGUUAUACUUUGGAAGUUUUUAAAAAUUUCUUUUCUUUUCUUUUCUUGUCUCUGGUGUUAGCUAUGGGUUUUUCGAGUUGAAACAACCCUAUUAGCGCGUAUGUACAAGUUUCAGCGCUCGACUGAUACCCUGUUACUUAUUCGUUUGUUAUACGUUUGUUAUACGUUGCACCUUUUAAAAAAAUUCUUUUCUUUUCUUUUAUUGUCUCUGGUGUUAGCUGUGGGUUCUUAGAGGUGAAAUAACCCUAUUAGCGCGUAUGUACCCUUUUCAGCGCUCAACUGAUACCCUGCUACUUAUUCGUUCCCUAUUCACUUUUUAUACGUUGCAUCUCUUUAAUGCUUUCUUUUCUUUUAUUUUUUUGUCUCUGGUGUAAGCUUUGGGUUCUUCGAGGUGAAAUAACCAUAUAAGCGCGUGUGUACCUGUUUCAGCGCUCGACUGAUACACUGUUACUUAUUCGUUCCUUAUUUGUUUGUUAUACGUUUGUGAUAGGUUGCACCUUAUUAAAAAUUUCUUUUUUUCUUAUUUUCUUGUCUCUGGUGUUAGCUAUGGGUUCUUCGAGGUGAAAUAACCUUAUUCGCGCGUAUCUACCCGUUUCAGCGCACGACUGAUACCCUGUUACUUAUUCGUUUGUUAUACGUUUGUUAUACGUUGCACCUUUUUAAAAAAAAAAUUCUUUUAUUUUCUUGUUUCUGGUGUUAGCUAUGGGUUCUUUGAGGUGAAAUAACCCUAUUAGCGCGUAUGUACCCGUUUCAGCUCUCGACUGAUACCAUGUUUCAUAUAUGCUACUUAUUCGUUCUCUAUUCUCUUGUCAUACGUUGCAUCCCUUUAAUUCUUUCUUUUCUUUUAUUUUCUUGUCUCUGGUGUUAGCUUUGGGUUCUUCGAGGUGAAAUAACCAUAUUAGCGCGUAUGUACCCGUUUCAGCGUUCGACUGAUACCCUGUUACUUAUUCGUUCCUAAUUCUAUGUUAUGCGUUUGUUAUACUUUGUACCUUUUUAAAAAUGUCUUUUCUUUUAUUUUCCUGUCUCUGGUGUUAGCUAUUGGUUCAUAGUGGUGACAUAACCCUAUUAGCGCGUAUGUACCCGUUUCAUCGCUCGACUGAUACCCUGUUACUUAUUCGCUAAUUAUUCGUUCCCUAUUCACUUUUUAUAAGUUGCAGCUCUUUAAUGCUUUGUUUUCUUUUAUUUUCUUGUCUCUGGUGUUAGCUAUUGUUUUUUCGAGUUGAAACAACCCUAUUAGCGCGUAUGUACCCGUUUCAGCGCUCGACUGAUACCCUAUUACUUAUUCGUUUGUUAUACGUUUGUUAUACGUUGCACCUUAGCAACUCAGUAGUGUCGAAGUCCUCUAUGUGCUCUGAUUUUCUUCAGUCUUUCUAAAUCCUCUCGAAGUUUGUUAUCCAGAGCAUUCGACAUAACUUGGCUGAAUUUUCCAUUCUUAACAUCUUUUUGUCUGUUGAGGAACCAAUCAGGGAUUUUGUACUGUCUUAGAUUGGACAUGAUAGUGAUGACUUUUUCAAUCUCUUCUUCACUUAGUUCUCCUUCUCUCUUGGAAAUGUCAACAUCAGCCUUUUU